GAUUAACGCUGGCGGCGUGCAUAACACAUUCAAGUCGAACGGAAUAUGGAAACAUAUUUAGUGGCGGACGGGUGAGUAACGCGUGAGCAAUCUACCUUCCAGGUGAGGAAUAACAACCGGAAACAGUUGCUAAUACCUCAUGAUACAAGGACAUCGCAUGGUGACCUUGUCAAAGGCUUGCUGCCUGGAGAUGAGCUUGCGUCCGAUUAGGUAGUUGGUGGGGUAACGGCCUACCAAGCCGACGAUCGGUAGCCGGACUGAGAGGUUGACCGGCCACAUUGGGACUGAGACACGGCCCAGACUCCUACGGAGGCAGCAGUGGGGAAUAUUUGCACAAUGGGCGCAAGCCUGAUGCAGCAACGCCGCGUGAGGGAUUGACGGUCUUCGGAUUGUAAACCUCUGUCCUUGGUGACGAAACAAAUGACGGUAGCCAU
rnacentral:rRNA from 1 species